rnacentral:lncRNA from 1 species
AUGGAAUUCCGGGAAUAUCUGUCGGAGACGAGGCUCGGGGGACGCUUCCCGACGAUUCCAGGGAGGAAUUCCCGAUUCCCACCGGGAAGGGUUUCCCUGGAUCUGAUGCCAAAGCCGAUCGGUCCCGCUGGACCCAAUUCCUUGGAGAGAGAAAUAAAGGAUUGCCGGAAGCUCGGGAGAGUCUGGAAUCUUCCCGCGGGAUAUGGGGAGGGAGGAGGGGCUGGGAAAGGAGGAUCCCGAUCCCCUGGGAUCGCAGCUUUGCCUCCAGUAAUUCCCUCGGGAUCUGGGAGAGGAGGAUUGCCGGAAGCUCGGGAGAGUCUGGAAUCUUCCCGCGGGAUAUGGGGAGGGAGGAGGGGCUGGGAAAGGAGGAUCCCGAUCCCCUGGGAUUGCGGGAUCACAGGAUCGCCUCCAGUAAUUCCCUCGGGAUCUGGGAAAGGAGGAUCCCGAUCCCCUGGGAUCACGGCUUUGCCUCCAGUAAUUCCCUCAGGAUCUGGGAGAGGAGGAUUCCGAUCCCCUGGGAUCGCAGCUUUGCCUCCAGCUAUUCCCUUGGGAUCUGGGAGAGGAGGAUUCCGAUCCCCUGGGAUCGCAGCUUUGCCUCCAGUAAUUCCCUCGGGAUCUGGGAAAGGAGGAUCUCGAUCCUUUGGGAUCUCAACAUCAUCUCCAGUUCUUUUCCUCAGGAUCUGGGAGAGGAAGACCCCAAUUCUUUGGGAUCUCAGCUUUGCUUCCAGUCCUUCCAGCGGAGGACUGGGAGAGGAGGAUCCCGAUCCCCUGGGAUUGCGGGAUCGCAGGAUCACCUCCAGUAAUUCCCUCGGGAUCUGGGUGAGGAGAAUCCCGAUCCCCUGGGAUCUCAGUUCCUUCCCUUGGGAUUUGGGACAGGAGGAUCCCAAUCCUUUGGGAUCUUGGCUCCUUCCCUCGGGAUCUGCGGGGGGUGGAGGGCUCAGAGAGGAGGAUCUGGAUCCUCUGGGAUUCUCCCUCGCUGCCACUCCAGCAGGGACUGGGAAACGCUGGAUUUUCCUUGGGAUAAGGCUCGACCCCACUCCUGAGCUUUCCCGGGAUGAGGGAGAGGAAGGGAGGAGAGGACGUGGCUCGGAGCUCAUCCAGGGAUUUCCUUUGGGAAAAGGAAUUCCUGGAGCAAGGCCAAGCUGGACAGGGCUUGGAGCAGCCGGGAAUGGAGGGAAGUGUCAGGGUGGGAAUGGGAUGGAAUUCCAGGGCCCUUUCGCUUUGUCCUGCCCUGCGGCCCUUUCCCAAAUCCCAACUCUCCCGGAGCCCCUGGAGCCUCGGGAAGCGGCUCCCAGGAUUCCCGGGAUCCUUCCCUGA